rnacentral:siRNA from 1 species
UAUUAAGGUUGCACUAUA